rnacentral:rRNA from 1 species
CAGUCGCCGCGGGAAUACGUAGGGUGCGAGCGUUAAUCGGAAUUACUGGGCGUAAAGCGUGCGCAGGCGGUUUUGUAAGACAGGCGUGAAAUCCCCGGGCUCAACCUGGGAAUGGCGCUUGUGACUGCAAAGCUAGAGUGCGGCAGAGGGGGAUGGAAUUCCGCGUGUAGCAGUGAAAUGCGUAGAUAUGCGGAGGAACACCGAUGGAGAAGGCAAUCCCCUGGGCCUGCACUGACGCUCAUGCACGAAAGCGUGGGGAGCAAACAGGAUUAGAGACCCCUGUAGUCCCUGUCUCUUAUAA